AUGCUGAUCCAUGCAAACAUCACCAUGGGCGAGGAGCGGGCGCAUUACAUCGACAUGGUGUUGGAAGAGUGGGAAGCCAUGUUCCAAUGGGUUCUUGCCGAACAGAGGUACAACCUCCGCCUCCUCGAUGAGCACCAACGCGUAGAGGAGCAAAUCGCCAGCACGGACACCGUGGCGGACGUGGACGAGCAGAAGGCGUUGCUCAUGUCCUAUUGUGCUGCCCAUGAAAUCUAUCGCGAGCGAUGGUGGCUCCGUGUCCCGCAGGCAGAGAAAGAAGGCAUGUUCACGGAGAUCAUUACGGUGGCGAAGGAAUUUGUUGAUGGCACCGUCGACGUCGCCGGCUCUGCACCAGUUGCGCUCCGCCGCCACAACGACGAGGCCGACACGUCCAUGGCGUCCGCUGAUAGCGAGGAAGAGUAG
rnacentral:rRNA from 1 species